ACUCAAAGGAAUUGACGGGGGCCCGCACAAGCAGCGGAGCGUGUGGUUUAAUUCGAGGCUACACGAAGAACCUUACCUGGGUUUGACAUAGGCGUGGUAGGGAACCGAAAGGGGACCGACCUUCGGGAGCGCUUACAGGUGCUGCAUGGCUGUCGUCAGCUCGUGCCGUGAGGUGUUCGGUUAAGUCCGCAAACGAGCGCAACCCUCGGCGUUAGUUACAGGUGUCUAACGCAACUGCCCGUGAGAAACGGGAGGAAGGUGGGGAUGACGUCAAGUCAGCAUGGCCUUUAUAUCCAGGGCUACACACACGCUACAAUGGACGGUACAAUGGGUUGCCAAGGAGCGAUCUGGAGCCAAUCCUGAAAGCCGUUCGUAGUUCGGAUUGCAGGCUGCAACUCGCCUGCAUGAAGUCGGAGUUGCUAGUAACCGCGCAUCAGCUAUGGCGCGGUGAAUACGUUCCCGGGCCUUGUACACACCGCCCGU
rnacentral:rRNA from 1 species